AGAGGGAUUGCUGGGUCAAAAAGUGGUUCCAUUCCCAGCUUUCCAAGGAAUCUCCAUACUACUUUCCAUAUUGGCUGUACCAAUUUGCAAUCCCACCAGCAAU
rnacentral:pre_miRNA from 1 species